CUCUCUCUCUCUCUCUCUCUCCAUGGUCUCCCUCUCCCUCUCUCCACGGUCUCUCUCUCUCUCUCUCUCUCUCUCUCUCUCUCUCUCUCUCUCCCUCUCUCCCUCUCUCCCUCUCUCUCUCUCUCUCUCUCCACGGUCUCCCUCUCCCUCUCCCUCUCUCCACGGUCUCCCUCUCCCUCUCCCUCUCCCUCUCUCCACGGUCUCCCUCUCCCUCUCUUUCCACGGUCUCCCUCUGAUGCCGAGCCGAGGCUGGACUGUACUGCUGCCAUCUCGGCUCACUGUAACCUCCCUGCCUGAUUCUCCUGCCUCAGCCUGCCGAGUGCCUGCGAUUGCAGGCGCGUGCCGCCACGCCUGACUGGUUUUCGUAUUUUUUUGGUGGAGACGGGGUUUCGCUGUGUUGGCUGGGCUGGUCUCCAGCUCCUGACCGCGAGUGAUCCGCCAGCCUCGGCCUCCCGAGGUGCCGGGAUUGCAGAUGGAGUCUGGUUCACUCAGUGCUCAAUGGUGCCCAGGCUGGAGUGCAGUGGCGUGAUCUCGGCUCGCUGCAACCUCCACCUCCCAGCCGCCUGCCUUGGCCUCCCAAAGUGCCGAGAUUGCAGCCUCUGCCCAGCCACCACCCCAUCUGGGAAGUGAGGAGCGUCUCUGCCUGGCUGCCCAUCGUCUGGGAUGUGAGGAGCCCCUCUGCCUGGCUGCCCAGUCUGGAAAGUGAGGAGCGUCUCUGCCCGGCCGCCAUCCCAUCUAGGAAGUGGGGAGCGUCUCUGCCCGGCCGCCCAUCGUCUGAGAUGUGGGGAGCGCCUCUGCCCCGCCACCCCUUCUGGGAUGUGAGGAGCGCCUCUGCCCGGCCACGACCCCGUCUGGGAGCCCAGCAUGUGAUCCAGCUUGAUGAACAUUCCAUGUGCACGUGACAAGAAUGGAUAUUCUGCUGUUGUUGGCUGUAGUGUUCUAUGUCAGGUCAGGCUGGUUGACAGUGUUGUUAAAUCUAUAUCCUUGCUAAUUUUUGUUUACUUUUUCUAUCAUUUUCUGAGAGAAGAGUGUUAAAAUCUCUAUGAUUGUGGAUUUUGUCUGUUUUCUCCUAUAGUUCUACCGUGCUUGCUUCAUCUCUCUUAAAUCUCUAUUAUUAGUUAAUUCAUCUUCUUGAUGAAUUGACCUUAUUAUUAUGCUUUUUCUGUUUGGUUCUUGUAGUAUACCAUGAAGUAUGUUUUGUCUGAUAGCAAUAUAACCAUACCAGCUUUUUAAUACUUACUGUUGGCAUAGUAAAACUUUUUCUUUGUUUUCAGACAGGGUCUCACUCUGUCACCCAGGCCGAGUGCAGUGACAUGAGCACAGUUCACUGUAGCAUUGACCUCCCAGGCUCAAGCGAUCCUCCCACCUCAGCCCCCCAUCCCUGUGGGGGUGUCAGUGAUGCUUGGACUCCACUAACUGCACCAUUGUCCUACUCCAUCUCCUUUGAGCCUGCUGUCAACCUCUGCACACAUGGCCUCAGCCCCUAGCCCUGGAUGACCACCAUUAGACCCAGCAGAACGGCAGCAGUGGUUUGCUGGCCCAGCACCUAGAGCUGCAGAAUAUGCUCCCUUGACCCUCAGGGAAAGAUGCAGAGCUAGUGAGACUUACUCUCCUCCACCACCAAAGUGAAG